rnacentral:tRNA from 4 species
AGGGUCGUCGUUCAGCGGUAGGACAGAGGUCUCCAAAACCUCUAACGAAGGUUCGAUUCCUUCCGACCCUGCCC